UACGGAGGUGGCAAGCGUUAUCCGGAAUCACUGGGCGUAAAGGGCACGCAGGCGGUUAUUCAAGUUCGGCGUGAAAGCUCCCGGCUUAACUGGGAGAGGUCGUUGAAAACUGAAUGACUUGAGGCAAUGAGAGGGAUGCGGAAUUCCUGGUGUAGUGGUGGAAUGCGUAGAUAUCAGGAGGAACGCCAGAGGCGAAAGCGGCAUCCUGGCAUUGACCUGACGCUCAUGUGCGAAAGCGUGGGUAGCGAACGGG
rnacentral:rRNA from 1 species